CACAGAAGUACUUCCCCAUCAGUUUUCUGUGUGAGCCUUUGAUGAUCUUUAAUGUCAAGAAGAUUUCCCAUGCGCCACGGACAGAGCCUCAGCAUCAGACCUGUCUUCAUGGAGAAUGACACUGCAGUCUUGAUGCAAGAGUGGUCCUCUGCCCUUGGCACCCUAUCUGCUAGGAAGCAGCAAAUAUUUCCUGCUCUGAGACCUGAAAUGCCAGCAUAAAAGUCCAACUGUGAUUAAGCUGUACCCUGGAAACAGUAGGAAUUGCUGUCACCUAGCAAGAGUCAUCAGGAUGCUCCAGUCUUCCAUGUACAGAACAGUCAAGUGCACAUCCCAAUUCUCCAGUGGCAUCUAGACUCUCCAAGAGGGACAAUUAUGGAAUUGUCAGUAGUGGGAUGAGGCCUCUCUCCAAAGCAGCUCAGCUUUCUCAGUCCCCAAAGCUCUGCAUUGGACCUCACAAUCCUCUUUGUUCCAACCGAACACCUGGCAGAGAUAUAGUUAAUGAUGCUCCCUUUUGGAGUUUAUUAAUUCCAUAAGCCUCUAUUUGUGAAUGGCUGCAAUAAAGAACAAACAUAAAAGUGA